UACGAAGGGGGCUAGCGUUGUUCGGAAUUACUGGGCGUAAAGCGCACGUAGGCGGAUACUUAAGUUAGGGGUGAAAUCCCGGGGCUCAACCCCGGAACUGCCUUUAAUACUGGGUAUCUCGAGUUCGAGAGAGGUGAGUGGAAUUCCGAGUGUAGAGGUGAAAUUCGUAGAUAUUCGGAGGAACACCAGUGGCGAAGGCGGCUCACUGGCUCGAUACUGACGCUGAGGAGCGAAAGCAUGGGGAGCGAACAGG
rnacentral:rRNA from 1 species